UUCCCCUUCGGGGGACAAAGUGACAGGUGGUGCAUGGUUGUCGUCAGCUCGUGUCGUGAGAUGUUGGGUUAAGUCCCGCAACGAGCGCAACCCUUAAGCUUAGUUGCCAUCAUUAAGUUGGGCACUCUAAGUUGACUGCCGGUGACAAACCGGAGGAAGGUGGGGAUGACGUCAAAUCAUCAUGCCCCUUAUGAUUUGGGCUACACACGUGCUACAAUGGACAAUACAAAGGGCAGCGAAACCG
rnacentral:rRNA from 1 species